rnacentral:rRNA from 1 species
GACGAACGCUGGCGGCGUGCCUAAUACAUGCAAGUUGAGCGCUGAAGGUUGGUACUUGUACCAACUGGAUGAGCAGCGAACGGGUGAGUAACGCGUGGGGAAUCUGCCUUUGAGCGGGGGACAACAUUUGGAAACGAAUGCUAAUACCGCAUAAAAACUUUAACCACAAGGUUUAAGUUUGAAAGAUGCAAUUGCAUCACUCAAAGAAGAUCCCGGGUUGUCUUAGCUUGUUGGUGAGGUUAAGGCUCAACAAGGCCAUGAUACCUAGCCGACCUUGGAGGGGGGAUGGCCAACUCGGGAACGGGGCACGGCCCAAACCCCUACGGGAAGCAGCAGGAGGGAAUCUUCGGCAAUGGGCGAAAGUCUGACCGAGCAACGCCGCGGGAGGGGAGAAGGUUUUCGGAUCGUAAAACUCUGUUGGUAGAGAAGAACGUUGGGGAGAGUGGAAAGCUCAUCAAGUGACGGUAACUACCCAGAAAGGGACGGCUAACUACGUG